GUAAGGAAGGUGUUAUUCCGCAGAGCUGAGAAAGGCAGGCUCAGCUAGGUUAAGUGAAGGGCCCAAGUUCACAGUUGGUGAGCGGAGGGCUGAGUCAAGGGAGAUCACAGGCCGUCUGUUCCCGAAGGACUGCAGGAGUGGGAAAGUGGUGUUGCAGGGAGGAAGACUUGAGUGCCAACCCACGGGGUUUGCGUGCACGUCUGCAGUGAAUCAUUCCUGUGAUCUAUUUUUCUGACUGCAAAACAUCAAACUGUUAAGGAAUUAUAAAUAGCAUGCGAAUCAAUCUGUGGCCUUGCCUCAUGCAGGUUCUUUAAAUCCCAGUAAUGCUUUAACAGGCAAACAUGCCCAGCUCACCUGCCCCGGUGAAGUGCAGUGAUUCUCCUGCUGAGUGUUCCUGGACCAGGGAUCAAAUCCGAGCCCCCUGCAGUUGAAAUGUGGAUUCUUAACCCCUGGACUACCAGCAAAGUCCCAGGAAUAUUUACAGUUUAAACAGGAAUACAAAAGAUAUAUUCUCCAAAGCAGUAGAAGGCAACAGUGGGCAAAGGAUUGCAAUAUAUUCCUGGGGAAUGAAGAAGCCCACAGAAGUGGCAAAGCCUUAAGAAAACGGAGGGAGCUAAAACCUAAAACCUAGAUUCCCUGAGAGGAGAUGUCAUAGAAAGGUGAGGACACAAGAAGUCAGCGGUCUCACCAGAACCUGACCUCCAGAACCACGAGAAGUAAAUUUCUGUUAUUCAUCAGCCCUUGGUCUAUUGUAUCCUGAUUUAGCAGCCUGAGUAGACUGAGAAAGGUGCUGUAAUAGGAAAGCAGGUAGAAGGUCUACCUGAAGAAUGGUUAUGUCCCCGGCAAGUUCCCCUCUCUUGUGUUCCCCUCCUGUCGAGAACUAGAAGCUGAUUCUUCCUUGGGAAAAUUGAAGUUGAGAGGCUAUGAAUUUCAAGACAUCAGACAAAGAUGUAAAGAGGGACAAAGUGGAGAAGGACACACCUGGGAACAAGGAGAUUAAGUCUUGGUUUGGCAGUGUAUGUUCAUUCAGGUGUAUGUUACAGAAAAAUCCAAAUGAAACCGAUAAAUGCAUUUAUAAAGUAUGAUGGCUUCAAAUAUCCCCCUCCCCCACCCUCCUCCUGUGGGACUGCUAGCCAAACGUCCGGAAGGCAGGAGGUCAGAAUGUAGAAAAUUCACCUAUGGAGGGAUUUGAGGCCCCAGAGGAAUGCCUGCAUGUACUGACAUUUGGGCAUUCUUCCCUUAAAAAGGCUGGGUUGUUGAGUCUUCAUCUUAAAGUAAAGCCCUCUAUUUUGUUCUGGCCACCAUCACUCAUGCCCAGUGAAGUCCCAUCAGGCUUUCAGUACCCCACCUUUAAAUCCAAGAAACUGCUAAAGCUUAUAAGCAUUUAGGGAAAAUCUCUUCUGUGAAACAAAAACAAAACAACAACAACAAAAACAGAAAUAGCGACACUGAAGAAAACAGAGAUAAUGUAGGGAACAGAAGAAAACAAACAAACUCAGUAUUAAUAUGCUUGCAAGAUAAGCGAUGCUUUUCCAUUGAAACUAGAAUCCAUUACUGUGAAGAAAAAGAAUAAUAUAUACACCAAAAGCACAGGCAGGAAAAGGAAAAAAAAAAUUGAUAAAUUAGACUUGAUCAAAAGUUUUGUAUAUCAAAUGACACUAUCAGAAAGUGAAAAGAGAACCCAUAGAAUGGGGAAAAUAUUUGCAAAUCACAUACCUGAUAAGGAUUAAAAUUCAGAAUAUGUAAAGAAUUCUUAAAACUUAACAAAAAAUCCCAAACAACUCAGUUUAAAAGUACUUCAAAAGGCAUUUCUCCAAAGAAGAUAUUCAAAUGGCCAAUGAGUUCAUGAAAAGUUAUCUAACAUUGCAAAUUAUUAGGAAAAUGUAAAUCAAAACUAUAAUGUGAUACUACUUCACAUCUGUUAGGAGGGUUAUUUUUUUUUAAAUAUCAGUAAAUAAUGAUGAACCUCUUGUGUAUUUAGGUAGGUAAAAUGGUGCUGCCACUGUGGAGAACAUUAUGACAAUUCCCCCAAAUUAAACAGAAUUAUCUUAUGAUCCAGCAUCCACUCUGGGUUAUAGACUCCUGACAACUAGAAGCAGAGACUUGAACAUGUUUGUGCACCAGUGUACACAAAAAUAUUUGUAUACCAAUGUUCAUAGCAGCAUUACUCACAAUAGUCAAAGGGAGAAACAACUCAAAUGUUCAUUGACAGACAAAUGGAUAUAUGUACAGUGGAAUAUAAUUCAGCCUUAAAAAGGAGUGACAUUCUGACACAUGCUGUAACAAGGAAAUAUUUAUGCUAGGGGAUGUAUUACUAAGUCAGGCACAAAAGAUUAAAUAUUUCAUGAUCCCACUCAUAUGAGGUACCAGAAAGUAGAAUGUUGGUUGCCCAAGGCCAUUGGGAGGGGGUGGGGGCACGAAUGGGGAGUUAUUGUUUAAAGGGGACUGAGCUUUGGUGUGGAUGAUGGAAAAAUUCUGAAAAUGGAUAAUGGUGGUGGUUGCACAACACUAUGCAUGUACUUGUACCACUGAAUUACAUAUAAAUGGUCAAAAUGGAAAAUGUU